CACGUAGGCACCAAGCGUUGUCCGGAUUUAUUGGGCGUAAAGAGCUCGUAGGCGGUUCAGUAAGUCAGGCGUGAAAUCUUUGGGCUUAACCCAAAGCGUGCGUUUGAUACUGCUGUGACUUGAGUUCGGUAGGGGAGUGGGGAAUUCCUAGUGUAGCGGUGAAAUGCGCAGAUAUUAGGAGGAACACCGGUGGCGAAGGCGCCACUCUGGGCCGAAACUGACGCUGAGGAGCGAAAGCGUGGGUAGCAAACAGG
rnacentral:rRNA from 1 species